rnacentral:snRNA from 1 species
AUACUUGCCUGGCAGGGGAGACACCAUGAUCAGGAAGGUGGUUUUCCCAGGGUGAGGCUUAUCCAUUGCACUUGGGAUGUGCUGGCCCCUGCGAUUUCCCCAAAUUCGGGAAACUCAGUUGCAUAAUUUGUGGUAGUGGGGGACUACGUUGUUGCCCUCUC